UUUCUGUAGGUGAACCUGCGGAAGGAUCAUUAUUGGAUUUUGAAACUUCAGGCUGCUGCUGGCUCUCCUCGGAGGGCAUGUGCACGCUUGUUGUCCAUUAUUUCUCCCACUGUGCACAAAUUGUAGACCUUUCAGUAGGCCUAUGUUGUUUUUCACAAUCUCUGAAUGUAAUAGAAUGGUUUUGAAUCUUGGGAAAUACAAUACAACUUUCAGCAACGGAUCUCUUGGCUCUC
rnacentral:misc_RNA from 1 species